rnacentral:tRNA from 1 species
GCCCGGGUGGUGAAAUUGGUAGACACGCCAUCUUGAGGGGGUGGUGCGAGCAAUCGCGUGCUGGUUCGAGUCCAGUCCCGGGCA